UACGUAGGGCGCAAGCGUUGUCCGGAUUUAUUGGGCGUAAAGAGCUCGUAGGCGGUCUGUCGCGUCUGCUGUGAAAACCCGAGGCUCAACCUCGGGCCUGCAGUGGGUACGGGCAGACUAGAGUGCGGUAGGGGAGACUGGAAUUCCUGGUGUAGCGGUGGAAUGCGCAGAUAUCAGGAGGAACACCGAUGGCGAAGGCAGGUCUCUGGGCCGCAACUGACGCUGAGGAGCGAAAGCAUGGGGAGCGAACAGGAUUAGAUACCCUGGUAGUCCAUGCCGUAAACGUUGGGCACUAGGUGUGGGGUUCAUUCCACGAGUUCCGUGCCGCAGCAAACGCAUUAAGUGCCCCGCCUGGGGAGUACGGCCGCAAGGCUAAA
rnacentral:rRNA from 1 species